rnacentral:rRNA from 1 species
AACACUCCGGUGGUAUGAGAUGGACCCGCGUCUGAUUAGCUAGUUGGUGAGGUAACGGCCCACCAAGGCGACGAUCAGUAGCCGGCCUGAGAGGGUGAACGGCCACAUUGGGACUGAGACACGGCCCAAACUCCUACGGGAGGCAGCAGUGGGGAAUAUUGCACAAUGGGGGAAACCCUGAUGCAGCGACGCCGCGUGAGUGAUGAAGUAUUUCGGUAUGUAAAGCUCUAUCAGCAGGGAAGAUAAUGACGGUACCUGACUAAGAAGCACCGGCUAAAUACGUGCCAGCAGCCGCGGUAAUACGUAUGGUGCAAGCGUUAUCCGGAUUUACUGGGUGUAAAGGGUGCGUAGGUGGCAAGGCAAG